rnacentral:lncRNA from 1 species
AGGACAUGACCUCCUGUCCCUCACCGUCACCCUCUACCACUCUCUUUCGCUUUCUUACAGCACUUAUCAAAGCUUCGACGCAAUUCUCUGGUGCAGCCACCUUCCAGAGCUUUUGGUGCACUUCUGAGGCUCCCCUCCACCUCUCCUGUUUCCAGGGCCUUGGUGAGUUUUGAUGGACACAGAACCAAGAACCCAGCGCCAAGGUCCAGGCCUUUAUGAGGUGCUUGUGCAGGGGCUGCACACCCAGCUGCCAACCAAGUGAAGGGAGGGAGGAAAAUGAACAUCUAAGACCUCAAGCUGGAAGAAGUUUCAGUCCCAGAAGGUGCUAACUGGUUCCCCUGCCCCUCUUCCUACCCCCUCCCGCAGCUCGGCCAGCUGCUGGAGGGACGCUGCAGGGGAAGGAGGCAGGGUGAUUAAGAGCUCUGGUUGUCAGGGCUGGGGCCAGGGGGCACGCCCCCUGGGUGACAUUUUCUCGCAUUGUGUCCUCAGAACAAAAACGAGUCUUAUUUGAGGAGCUAGAUGGGGGAGGGGGCCGGGGGGGCUGAAGCGACCGAGUGGAAUCGUGGCUCCAGGGAACAGCGAUUACUCAUCAAAGGCCAGGGCAGCCCACGUCUUUGUGUGCCCUCCGCAGCCCGCCCGUGCCUGGCCACAGGCCCCCAGCCUUAGACUUCCCCCUGACAGCCCCCAAAGAGCAGGGCUGGGGUGGGGGAGAGCUGGGAUCGUGUGUGGGCACAGAGCCCGGACAGGCGCGGUGGGGGCAGGGGUGACCAGGGCAGGCUUCCUGGAGGAGGGGAGCGUAGACAUGCACUGGACAGAGGGGAGGCGCAAGGAAGAGAAUUGCUGCGUGCUAAGGGGAGAAAAACGUGGGUCUCCGGAGACCAGGGGGUUGUUCCUAGACUGGUUCCCUGCGGGCACAGCAGCAUCUCUCCCAUCAGAUCUGGAUUUGGUUCUUCCUCUAGCUGAACUCCCAGCCAUCCACUUGGUAUUUAUCCACAAGGCACCUGAGUGUCGACACAGAAGACAGCCUAUCUGCCAGAUUGAUGAACAACCUGACCCAAUGCAGGCAAAUGCAGAGGAUGUCCCAUAA